ACAUGGCACCGGAAAGAUGCCUUAGCCAGCCUUAUAACGAAACCUCUGACAUCUGGAGUAUAGGUGUAAUUUUGUACAUUCUAGUUAAAGGCAGUUUUCCUUUUUAUGGUACCGACGAAGAAACCAAAAGUAUGAUAUGUUCCUCGCACCACCCCUCUUAUGAA